UACGUAGGCAGCGAGCGUUGUUCGGAGUUACUGGGCGUAAAGGGUGUGUAGGCGGUUGCUUAAGUUUGGUGUGAAAUCUCCCGGCUCAACUGGGAGGGUGCGCCGAAUACUGAGCGACUAGAGUGCGGGAGAGGAAAGUGGAAUUCCUGGUGUAGCGGUGAAAUGCGUAGAUAUCAGGAGGAACACCGGUGGUGUAGACGGCUUUCUGGGCAGUAACUGACGCUGAGGCGCGAAAGCGUGGGGAGCAAACAGG
rnacentral:rRNA from 1 species